UGGCAAAAAGUUGACUUUUAGCGGAUGAUUAACUAAAUAGAACAAAAAACUAAUCUAAACAACACUACUCUGAAACUACACCAACCCACCCUUACCAACGACAAACGCACGGAGAAAGACAGGAAAACAAAGCUAGCGAGCUAAAGCGAAGCUGUUUCUGAGCCACAGCAGCUCACAAUAGAUGGUUGACAUAUCACACGGAGACACCGGACCCGGUAGAAUGCGGCUUGCCCAGAGUCCGGUUCUGAAGGAUGACCUCAACACAAAGGAGCCAAUACGAACAUUGACAGCUUCACCAGGCGACCGCUAGCGAAGCAACACGGUAGACCACACAAGACGAUGAGCCGCAAGAUUAUUCAGGAAGGAGAACCCGCCAGAAGUGCCACUCCACCGCACCUGAAACUAAGGAGACAGACUAAACC
rnacentral:lncRNA from 1 species